UAUUAUUACUUUCGGGUUACUAAAAGGGGAACGAAAAUUUGAUUAUUUUUACGCUACGACGCACGGCUUAGGAGAUACAGCCCUAUAAAGAUUUCUGCAUGACUGAAAAAAAACCUAACCUUUGAAUCCCUGAAAUAAUAUUUAACAAACACAAAAAAGAAAAAAAAAAACAAAAUGGCAGAACAGGCUGACGCAACUAGGAACAAAAUAAGUUUUGUAUGGAACUUGUUUCGCAAAUCUUUGCCAACGAAGAAAAAUAAAACGUCAGUGCUAUUUAUUCUGUCAAGUUUACAUCAAGUCAACUGUCAGCCUAAUUGUUUUGUUUGUUAUGAAGGCUUCAAUGUUUUGUUCGGGUAUUUCGUGCAAUUUCUUUAAUAUUUAGUGAAAAUAUCGAAAAUAGUGAACCGUGAUCAGAAUAAAGAACGAGUUUGUUACAAUGCCACCGAGAAAACGGUUUACUAAGUGUGAAAUAUGUGGCAAGCGAGUCACUCGAGAAAAUCAUGAAAAAAGGGAUUUUAUGGCGAAAUUUCCCUUGGAUAAAGACCGAUGCAGGCAGUGGGUUGAAAUUGUUGGGAACGAAGACCUGAUACAUCUUCCCAUAGAAAAGUUACAUUUAUUGAAACAUGUAUCUGCAGAUCAUUUUGAAAAUAGUGCUUUUAAUAAAAAAAAAAUUAAGAAAAAAAA